ACCUGCGACGGAAUGGCAAUCUGCAUUUCCUGGGAGGUCCGAGUGCUCAUACACCUGACUGACUUUGCACUUCUACCUGACGCUCCCAUGGUGCCUGUGACCCCAGUGUACGACUGUUUCUCCUUGCAGGAAGCUGAUGAAGCCUUGUUGCAUAACCUGCGCCAACAGCUCGAGGCCCAGUUUCUGCAGGACGAUAUCAGUGUGACCAAGGACAGGAACAAAAAGGAGAAACUCCUGACGGAACGAGAGGUGGCCUCACUGUAGAGCCAGCUGGAGGAGGGCCGGGAGGCGCUGUCCCACCUGCAGGCACAGCUCGCGGAGCUGCAGGCCCAGAUAUGUGCCCCACACGGGACGUGUACUUUACACAUUUUGUUGAUGAGUUGCAGGUGCGUGCAGGUACCCAGCUCUGAAUUGUCACCCACCAAACACACCUGUGUCCUGCAGAAGCGGCCUUCCGAGCAGGUGACAGGUGCCCUGCUUUCCCUGACUGAGGUUCCCUGGAUGCAGGACAUUUCAUGUCCAACCUGGGGGAGUCCUGGGCAAAUGGAGGCGGGUUAGGGGACUCCCUGGUCACAGGAGUUG
rnacentral:lncRNA from 1 species